rnacentral:rRNA from 1 species
GUGAACGCUGGCGGUAGGCCUCACACCUGCAAGUCGAACGGCAGCACAGUAAGAGCUUGCUCUUACGGGUGGCGAGUGGCGGACGGGUGAGGAAUACAUCGGAAUCUACUUUUUCGUGGGGGAUAACGUAGGGAAACUUACGCUAAUACCGCAUACGACCUACGGGUGAAAGCAGGGGAUCUUCGGACCUUGCGCGAUUGAAUGAGCCGAUGUCGGAUUAGCUAGUUGGCGGGGUAAAGGCCCACCAAGGCGACGAUCCGUAGCUGGUCUGAGAGGAUGAUCAGCCACACUGGAACUGAGACACGGUCCAGACCCCUACGGGAGGCAGCAGUGGGGAAUAUUGGACAAUGGGCGCAAGCCUGAUCCAGCCAUACCGCGUGGGUGAAGAAGGCCUUCGGGUUGUAAAGCCCUUUUGUUGGGAAAGAAAAGCAGCAGGUUAAUACCCCGCUGUUCUGACGGUACCCAAAGAAUAAGCACCGGCUAACUUCGUG